rnacentral:rRNA from 1 species
GGGUUGUGAGGUUAAGCGACUAAGCGUACACGGUGGAUGCCCUGGCAGUCAGAGGCGAUGAAGGACGUGCUAAUCUGCGAAAAGCGUCGGUAAGGUGAUAUGAACCGUUACAGCCGGCGAUGUCCGAAUGGGGAAACCCAGUGCAAUUCGUUGCACUAUCGUUAACUGAAUACAUAGGUUAACGAGGCGAACCGGGGGAACUGAAACAUCUAAGUACCCCGAGGAAAAGAAAUCAACCGAGAUUCCCCCAGUAGCGGCGAGCGAACGGGGAGCAGCCCAGAGUCUGAAUCAGCUUGUGUGUUAGUGGAACGGUCUGGAAAGUCCGACGGUACAGGGUGAUAGUCCCGUACACCAAAAUGCACAGGUUGUGAACUCGAAGAGUAGGGCGGGACACGUGGUAUCCUGUCUGAAUAUGGGGGGACCAUCCUCCAAGGCUAAAUACUCCUGACUGACCGAUAGUGAACCAGUACCGUGAGGGAAAGGCGAAAAGAACCCCGGCGAGGGGAGUGAAAAAGAACCUGAAACCGUGUACGUACAAGCAGUGGGAGCACCUUCGGGUGUGACUGCGUACCUUUUGUAUAAUGGGUCAGCGACUUAUAUUCUGUAGCAAGGUUAACCGUAUAGGGGAGCCGCAGGGAAACCGAGUCUUAACUGGGCGUUAAGUUGCAGGGUAUAGACCCGAAACCCGGUGAUCUAGCCAUGGGCAGGUUGAAGGUUGGGUAACACUAACUGGAGGACCGAACCGACUAAUGUUGAAAAAUUAGCGGAUGACUUGUGGCUGGGGGUGAAAGGCCAAUCAAACCGGGAGAUAGCUGGUUCUCCCCGAAAGCUAUUUAGGUAGCGCCUCGUGAAUUCAUCUUCGGGGGUAGAGCACUGUUUCGGCUAGGGGGUCAUCCCGACUUACCAACCCGAUGCAAACUACGAAUACCGAAGAAUGUUAUCACGGGAGACACACGGCGGGUGCUAACGUCCGUCGUGAAGAGGGAAACAACCCAGACCGCCAGCUAAGGUCCCAAAGUCAUGGUUAAGUGGGAAACGAUGUGGGAAGGCACAGACAGCCAGGAUGUUGGCUUAGAAGCAGCCAUCAUUUAAAGAAAGCGUAAUAGCUCACUGGUCGAGUCGGCCUGCGCGGAAGAUGUAACGGGGCUAAACCAUGCACCGAAGCUGCGGCAGCGACACUAUGUGUUGUUGGGUAGGGGAGCGUUCUGUAAGCCUGCGAAGGUGACCUGUGAGGGUUGCUGGAGGUAUCAGAAGUGCGAAUGCUGACAUAAGUAACGAUAAAGCGGGUGAAAAGCCCGCUCGCCGGAAGACCAAGGGUUCCUGUCCAACGUUAAUCGGGGCAGGGUGAGUCGACCCCUAAGGCGAGGCCGAAAGGCGUAGUCGAUGGGAAACAGGUUAAUAUUCCUGUACUUGGUGUUACUGCGAAGGGGGGACGGAGAAGGCUAUGUUAGCCGGGCGACGGUUGUCCCGGUUUAAGCAUGUAGGCUGAUUGUCCAGGCAAAUCCGGAUAAUCAAGGCUGAGGUGUGAUGACGAGGCACUACGGUGCUGAAGUAACAAAUGCCCUGCUUCCAGGAAAAGCCUCUAAGCAUCAGGUAACAUCAAAUCGUACCCCAAACCGACACAGGUGGUCAGGUAGAGAAUACCAAGGCGCUUGAGAGAACUCGGGUGAAGGAACUAGGCAAAAUGGUGCCGUAACUUCGGGAGAAGGCACGCUGGUGUGUAGGUGAAGCCCCUGCGGGUGGAGCUGAGACCAGUCGAAGAUACCAGCUGGCUGCAACUGUUUAUUAAAAACACAGCACUGUGCAAACACGAAAGUGGACGUAUACGGUGUGACGCCUGCCCGGUGCCGGAAGGUUAAUUGAUGGGGUUAUCCGUAAGGAGAAGCUCUUGAUCGAAGCCCCGGUAAACGGCGGCCGUAACUAUAACGGUCCUAAGGUAGCGAAAUUCCUUGUCGGGUAAGUUCCGACCUGCACGAAUGGCGUAAUGAUGGCCAGGCUGUCUCCACCCGAGACUCAGUGAAAUUGAACUCGCUGUGAAGAUGCAGUGUACCCGCGGCAAGACGGAAAGACCCCGUGAACCUUUACUAUAGCUUGACACUGAACAUUGAGCCUUGAUGUGUAGGAUAGGUGGGAGGCUUUGAAGCGUGGACGCCAGUCUGCGUGGAGCCAACCUUGAAAUACCACCCUUUAAUGUUUGAUGUUCUAACGUUGGCCCCUUACCGGGGUUGCGGACAGUGUCUGGUGGGUAGUUUGACUGGGGCGGUCUCCUCCCAAAGCGUAACGGAGGAGCACGAAGGUUAGCUAAUCCUGGUCGGACAUCAGGAGGUUAGUGCAAUGGCAUAAGCUAGCUUGACUGCGAGCGUGACGGCGCGAGCAGGUGCGAAAGCAGGUCAUAGUGAUCCGGUGGUUCUGAAUGGAAGGGCCAUCGCUCAACGGAUAAAAGGUACUCCGGGGAUAACAGGCUGAUACCGCCCAAGAGUUCAUAUCGACGGCGGUGUUUGGCACCUCGAUGUCGGCUCAUCACAUCCUGGGGCUGAAGUAGGUCCCAAGGGUAUGGCUGUUCGCCAUUUAAAGUGGUACGCGAGCUGGGUUUAGAACGUCGUGAGACAGUUCGGUCCCUAUCUGCCGUGGGCGCUGGAGAAUUGAGGGGGGCUGCUCCUAGUACGAGAGGACCGGAGUGGACGCAUCACUGGUGUUCGGGUUGUCAUGCCAAUGGCACUGCCCGGUAGCUAAAUGCGGAAGAGAUAAGUGCUGAAAGCAUCUAAGCACGAAACUUGCCCCGAGAUGAGUUCUCCCUGAGACUUUAAGUCUCCUGAAGGAACGUUAAAGACGAUGACGUUGAUAGGCCGGGUGUGUAAGCGCAGCGAUGCGUUGAGCUAACCGGUACUAAUGAACCGUGAGGCUUAACCUUACAACGCCGAAG